rnacentral:miRNA from 2 species
GAGGGUCGCUCUGUGCCUGUGC